UUUAUGCUAAUAGGAAUUUCCCUUUCCAACACCGAGCGCAUUCAUUCCCAGUAGCAUUUGUAGGCAAAUGCAGCCAACUUUACUAUUAUUUACGUACAUCAGCUGUUUGAAAAGUUUAUUAAUUGGCAAUCAAGGCCUUGUUAUCAAUUUAUUUUGCUGUUUUCCUAUCAAAAAGAAACUCACUUGUCAAAUUAGCAGCCAUAAAUUUUUUUUUGAUAAAUAAAUGUAUUUGGCAAUUGAGACACCAUUCCGUACGGCAGUAUGCAAAAUUGAAAAGCUAAUUAUUUUUAAAAGUUAUUAGGUGCGCCCGUACUACAUCAGCAACUACAUAUUUAUGCAAAUAUAUAGUACAUAUACCUAAUGUACGUGAAGUAAACUUUGUGUUCAAUUGAACACUUUGCAAUUAGUUAAUAGCGCGCCUUCAACGGGUACACAAGCAUAAGAUAUACAUAGUACAAUCGCGCCGCCUGCAGAUCGACAGUGUGCUCAGAAAUACGUGCUUUGUGUGUCAUAUGUAUAUAUGUACAUACACACAUAUGUACCAACCGAAAGUGAUUGAUUAUUAAAGUACAAAUUCCAAAUAAACUAACGAACCCAACGAGAAGUAAGUGAAGGAGUUAAGAUGCCACCAUUCCAAGUUGUCGAUUGCACAAAGGUAUUAACAGGUGGAGUGAAUCGGGCAUUUGGUAAUAGAGAACCUUGGCUAGUAGCAACUAUUACGGCGACAACGGUGCUGGGAACUGUUUGGCUAUGGACAUUUAUCAAUCAUGAUGAAAGUGAGUAAAUCAUAUGAAUGUUUGUAGUUUUGUAUGUGUACAGUUUCGUUUGCCAUUUCGCCGAUUUUUAAUUGCUAAUCGGUAAGAAAUUUAAGAAAUAAUGAAUUGCUAAUUGGCGGUUUUGUACUUGCAGCCAUUCAUUUAAUAU